rnacentral:rRNA from 1 species
GGAUAAGCGUUGGAAACGACGUCUAAUACUGGAUAUGAUCACUGGUCGCAUGGCCUGGUGGUGGAAAGAUUUUUUGGUUGGGGAUGGACUCGCGGCCUAUCAGCUUGUUGGUGAGGUAAUGGCUCACCAAGGCGACGACGGGUAGCCGGCCUGAGAGGGUGACCGGCCACACUGGGACUGAGACACGGCCCAGACUCCUACGGGAGGCAGCAGUGGGGAAUAUUGCACAAUGGGCGAAAGCCUGAUGCAGCAACGCCGCGUGAGGGAUGACGGCCUUCGGGUUGUAAACCUCUUUUAGUAGGGAAGAAGGGAGCUUCGGUUCUUGACGGUACCUGCAGAAAAAGCACCGGCUAACUACGUGCCAGCAGCCGCGGUAAUACGUAGGGUGCAAGCGUUGUCCGGAAUUAUUGGGCGUAAAGAGCUCGUAGGCGGUUUGUCGCGUCUGCUGUGAAAUCCCGAGGCUCAACCUCGGGCUUGCAGUGGGUACGGGCAGACUAGAG